rnacentral:rRNA from 1 species
CACAAGCGGUGGAUGAUGUGGAUUAAUUCGAUGCAACGCGAAAACCUUACCUACCCUUGACAUGUCCGGAAUCCCGAAGAGAUUUGGGAGUGCUCGCAAGAGAACCGGAACACAGGUGCUGCAUGGCUGUCGUCAGCUCGUGUCGUGAGAUGUUGGGUUAAGUCCCGCAACGAGCGCAACCCUUGUCAUUAGUUGCCAUCAUUUGGUUGGGCACUCUAAAUGAGACUGCCGGUGACAAACCGGAGGAAGGUGGGGAUGACGUCAAGUCCUCAUGGCCCUUAUGGGUAGGGCUUCACACGUCAUACAAUGGUCGGUACAGAGGGUUACCAACCCGCGAGGGGGAGCUAAUCCCACAAAGCCGAUCGUAGUCCGGAUCGCAGUCUGCAACUCGACUGCGUGAAGUCGGAAUCGCUAGUAAUCGUGGAUCAGCAUGUCACGGUGAAUACGUUCCCGGGUCUU